CAGCCCAGGCGGGAGGCGGCUCCCCGCAGGCCGAGGGCCGCCUCUCGUCCGCGCGCUCCGGCCCGGCCGGGGCAGUUUGCACUCCCGGAGACCCCGGUGGGGGGCCGAACGCGGAGGCGGAGGGCGCGGCGCCCCCCCAGGGCUGCGCCGGCGGCCGGCCGCGGAGCUCCCGCGCGGGGCGAGCCAGCGUCGCCUCCCCGGCAGCCCGGGCGGCGGAACUCGGGCGGGGAAGGGCGAGGGAGCCCGCGCCAGGCUCCACCAGAGAAACAGAACAGGAGGAGAGAAUGAAAAGAGAAGAGAAUUCAAGGAAUCGGUUCAUGCUACUGGAAGGCUGACAAACCGCAGAGCUGCAGGCCGGGCCGGCAGGCGGGAGACCCAGGGACGGGCGGCACUUUGAGUCCAAAGGCAGCCUGCCUGCAGCAUCCCCUCUUCAUCAGAGGAGGUCUGCCGUUUUCCUAUUAAAGCCGUCAACUGACUGGGUGAGGCCCACCACAAAAUGGAAAGUAACCUGCUCUACUCAGAGACUGCUAUCAUUUAUAUGUUAAUCUCAUUUAAAAUAUUCCUUCACAGAAACAUCUAGAAUAACAUUUGACCAAAUAGCUGGG